CAGCCGCCGCGGUAAUACGUAGGGUGCGAGCGUUAAUCGGAUUUACUGGGCGUAAAGCGUGCGCAGGCGGCCCGUUAAGACAGGUGUGAAAUCCCUGGGCUCAACCUAGGAAUUGCGCUUGUGACUGGCGGGCUCGAGUACGGUAGAGGGGGGUGGAAUUCCUGGUGUAGCAGUGAAAUGCGAAGAGAUCAGGAGGAACACCGAUGGCGAAGGCAGCCCCCUGGGCCUGUACUGACGCUCAUGCACGAAAGCGUGGGGAGCAAACAGGAUUAGAUACCCUGGUAGUCCACGCCCUAAACGAUGGGUACUAGCCGUUUGGUGCGCGAUAGCGCUGAGUGGCGAAGCUAACGCGUGAAGUACCCCGCCUGGGGAGUACGGCCGCAAGGUUGAAACUUAAAGGAAUUGGCGGG
rnacentral:rRNA from 1 species